rnacentral:lncRNA from 1 species
AGGAGUAUGUCCCCUCCACUUAAGACCCCACGCACGCUCGAGCGACCCUCGGUGACCAAAAUGCCAUCCGAUCUAUGACCCACCAACAUUCAUGAGCCUCCCUAUAUCAAAAUGCCUCCCGAUCAGCGAUCUUCGACGUUCGUGAGCCUCCUGGCAUCAAAAUGCCAUCCCAUCGGCAAGAUCCCAACGUCCAUGAGUUUCUCGACGUCAAAGCACCACCCGUUCGACCACUUAUUAGAUUUCCAUCAUUUCAUGCAUGCAAAAAUUUUUAAAAUAAGUAUGCAGUAGAAUUUAAAAUUUUUAGAUUAAAUCU